GUCGAACGGUAACAGGAAUCAGCUUGCUGAUUCGCUGACGAGUGGCGGACGGGUGAGUAAUGUCUGGGAAACUGCCCGAUGGAGGGGGAUAACUACUGGAAACGGUAGCUAAUACCGCAUAACGUCGCAAGACCAAAGAGGGGGACCUUCGGGCCUCUUGCCAUCGGAUGUGCCCAGAUGGGAUUAGCUAGUAGGUGGGGUAAAGGCUCACCUAGGCGACGAUCCCUAGC
rnacentral:rRNA from 1 species